rnacentral:rRNA from 1 species
CCUACGGGGGGCUGCAGUGGGGGAUAUUGCACAAUGGGGGAAACCCUGAUGCAGCGACGCCGCGUGAGUGAAGAAGUAUCUCGGUACGUAAAGCUCUAUCAGCAGGGAAGAAAAUGACGGUACCUGACUAAGAAGCCCCGCCUAACUACUUGCCAGCAGCCGCGGUAAUACGUAGGGGGCAAGCGUUAUCCGGAUUUACUGGGUGUAAGGGUAGCGUAGACGGCAGCACAAGUCUGGAGUGAAAACCCGGGGCUCAACCCCGGAACUGCUUUGGAAACUGUGCGGCUGGAGUGCAGGAGGGGCAAGCGGAAUUCCUAGUGUAGCGGUGAAAUGCGUAGAUAUUAGGAGGAACACCAGUGGCGAAGGCGGCUUACUGGACUGUAACUGACGUUGAGGCUCGAAAGCGUGGGGAGCAAACAGGAUUAGAUACCCCUGUAGUC